rnacentral:rRNA from 1 species
AGGCGUUAUGCGUUGUAAACUGCUUUUAUAUAGGAAGAAAUAGACCUUGCGAGGUAAGUUGACGGUACUAUAUGAAUAAGCACCGGCUAACUCCGUGCCAGCAGCCGCGGUAAUACGGAGGGUGCAAGCGUUGUCCGGAUUUAUUGGGUUUAAAGGGUGCGUAGGCGGUUUAUUAAGUCAGUGGUGAAAGACGGUCGCUCAACGAUUGCAGUGCCAUUGAUACUGGUAGACUUGAGUGAGAUUGAGGUAACUGGAAUGGAUAGUGUAGCGGUGAAAUGCAUAGAUAUUAUCCAGAACACCAAUUGCGUAGGCAAGUUACUAAGUCUCAACUGACGCUGAGGCACGAAAGUGUGGGUAUCAAACAGGAUUAGAUACCCUGGUAGUCCACACUGUAAACGAUGAUAACUAACUGUUGGCUUUCGGGUCAGUGGUACAGAGAAAUCGUUAAGUUAUCCACCUGGGGAGUACGCCGGCAACGGUGAAACUCAAAUGAAUUGACGGGGGAAAA